rnacentral:rRNA from 1 species
CCUACGGGUGGCAGCAGUGAGGAAUAUUGGUCAAUGGCCGGAAGGCUGAACCAGCCAAGCCGCGUGGAGGACGAAGGUGCGAAGCAUUGUAAACUUCUUUUGUCAAGGGACAAAAUCAGGCUCGAGAGCCGGACCGAGGGUACGUGAAGAAAAAGCAUCGGCUAACUCCGUGCCAGCAGCAGCGGUAAUACGGAGGAUGCGAGCGUUAUCCGGAUUUAUUGGGUUCAAAGGGUGCGUAGGCGGGCUGUUAAGUCAGCGGUAAAAGCCCGGGGCUCAACCCCGGCGAGCCGUUUAAACUGGCUGUCUUGAGUUGUCGCGAGGUAUGCGGAAUGCGCAGUGUAGCGGU